ACAGCUUAUAUAAACGGUAAGGUAAGUAAGCAUUUACUCGUCAAAAUGCCUGGUCAAGUCUGGUUAUCUCUCUGUGUCGUUGUACUGGUGUUCGGUCACAUAAAUGCCGGGCUUGCUGAUAUAGGGAACUUAAUAGGCGGUGCUGAAAAUCUGGCAAAUGCACUUGGAACAUCUGGGAAUGGAGAGGGUUUUGUCUGCAAUAGAUACAUGAGAUAUAACAUUUGAAAGGUACUGAAGAUA